rnacentral:rRNA from 1 species
UACGGGGGGAGCAAGCGUUGUUCGGAUUUACUGGGCGUAAAGGGCGCGUAGGCGGUCAGCACAAGUCAAUUGUGAAAUCUCCGAGCUUAACUCGGAAAGGUCAACUGAAACUGUGCGACUAGAGUGCGGAAGGGGCAACUGGAAUUCUUGGUGUAGCGGUGAAAUGCGUAGAUAUCAAGAGGAACACCUGCGGCGAAGGCGGGUUGCUGGGCCGACACGUGACGCUGAAGCGCGAAAGCCAGGGGAGCGAACGGG